rnacentral:rRNA from 1 species
UGGGGAAUAUUGCGCAAUGGGGGAAACCCUGACGCAGCAACGCCGCGUGAAGGAUGAAGGUCUUCGGAUUGUAAACUUUUGUCUUGUGGGACGAUAAUGACGGUACCACAGGAGGAAGCUCCGGCUAACUACGUGCCAGCAGCCGCGGUAAUACGUAGGGAGCGAGCGUUGUCCGGAAUUACUGGGUGUAAAGGGUGCGUAGGCGGGUAUGCAAGUCAGAUGUGAAAUCUCCGAGCUUAACUUGGAGCCUGCAUUUGAAACUGCAUAUCUUGAGGACGGGAGAGGCAAGUGGAAUUCCUAGUGUAGCGGUGAAAUGCGUAGAUAUUAGGAGGAACACCAGUGGCGAAGGCGACUUGCUGGACCGUAACUGACGCUGAGGCACGAAAGCGUGGGGAGCAAACA